CAAUAGCGUAUAUUAAAGUUGUUGCAGUUAAAAAGCUCGUAGUUGGAUUUGUGGCGUACGGUGUGUUCCGGGCACUUGUUGUCUGAGUAACCUGCUGUUGCCAUCCUUGGGUGGAACCUGUGUGGCAUUAGGUUGUCGUGCAGGGGAUGCCCAUCAUUUACUGUGAAAAAAUUAGAGUGUUCAAAGCAGGCUUAUGCCGUUGAAUAUAUUAGCAUGGAAUAAUGAGAUAGGACUCUUUUGCUAUUUUGUUGGUUUGCGCAAAGAGGUAAUGAUUAAUAGGGACAGUUGGGGGUAUUCGUAUUCCAUUGUCAGAGGUGAAAUUCUUGGAUUUUUGGAAGACGAACUACUGCGAAAGCAUUUACCAAGGAUGUUUUCAUUAA
rnacentral:rRNA from 1 species